GAAAAUGGCGGCCCCCGAACAGCCGCUGCAGAUGUCCAGAGGUUGCCAGAACUCCCCUUCGCUUUCUCCGCUGCGGGGAGACCGAACCCUUCUCGUGCGGCACCUGCCCUCAGAGCUGACCGCAGAGGAGAAAGAAGACUUGCUGAAAUACUUCGGGGCGCAGUCGGUCCGCGUCCUGUCAGAUAAGGGGCGGCUGAAACAUACAGCUUUUGCUACUUUCCCUAAUGAAAAAGCAGCUAUAAAGGCAUUGACAAGACUCCAUCAGCUGAAACUUUUAGGUCACACUUUAGUUGUUGAAUUUGCAAAAGAGCAAGAUCGUGUUCACUCCCCAAGUACCUCUUCAGGCAAUGAAAAAAAGAAAAGGUCUGAUGAUCCUGUGGAAGAUGAUAAAGAAAAGAAAGAUCUUGGUUGUUUAACAAUAGAAAAUGGAAUCGCACCAAACCAUGGGCUGACUUUUCCUCUCAAUUCAUGCCUCAAGUAUAUGUAUCCGCCACCUUCAAGCACAAUUCUAGCAAACAUAGUAAAUGCCUUGGCAAGUGUGCCUAAGUUCUAUGUACAGGUGCUUCAUCUUAUGAAUAAAAUGAAUUUGCCCACACCUUUUGGACCGAUUACUGCACGACCUCCCAUGUAUGAAGACUAUAUCCCAGUGCAUGCACCUCUUCCACCUGUAUCUCCUCAGCCACCUGAAGAACCCCCUUUGCCAGAUGAGGAUGAGGAGUUCUCUAGUAAAGAAUCAGAAUAUGAAAGCAGUGAUGAUGAGGACCGACAGAGAAUGACCAAACUGAUGGAACUAGCAAAUCUUCAGCCCAAAAGACCAAAAACAAUAAAGCAGCACCAUGUGAGAAAAAAACGAAAAAUAAAGGAUAUGUUCAAUACACCUUCUUCUGCUUUAAACAGUAAUGUACAUCCAGUGCUGUUACCUUCAGAUGUAUUUGACCAACCACAACCUGUAGGUAAUAAAAAAAUUGAAUUCCAUAUAUCUACCAACAUGCCUGCUGCAUUUAAGAAAGAUUUAGAAGAGGAACAAAAUUGUGACAAACAAAAUUGUGAUUUACCGGCUAUUGAAGUUGACACAUCUAAUGUAGGAUUUGGAAAAAUCUUCCCUGCACCUAAUUUGAGCACCACAGAAGAGAUUAAAGAAGAUGCUGAUGAAAUGCCAUCAGAAUGUAUUUCUAGAAGGGAAUUGGAAAAGGGCAGAAUUUCUAGAGAAGAAAUGGAAUCACUUUCAGUUUUCAGAAGUUACGAACCUGGUGAACCAAACUGUAGAAUUUAUGUGAAGAAUUUAGCUAAACACGUUCAAGAAAAGGACCUUAAAUUUAUUUUUGGAAGGUAUGUUGACUUUUCAUCAGAAACACAACGGAUUAUGUUUGAUAUACGUUUGAUGAAAGAAGGCCGCAUGAAAGGACAAGCUUUCAUUGGACUGCCAAAUGAAAAAGCAGCAGCAAAAGCCUUAAAAGAAGCUAACGGAUAUGUUCUUUUUGGAAAACCCAUGGUGGUUCAAUUUGCGCGAUCAGCUAGACCAAAACAAGAUUCUAAAGAGGGAAAAAGAAAAUGUUAAAAAUUAGUAAAGAAGCAUUCCUGCGUAAAUACUGCUGUAAUACUGUCAUGCAAAGUGUAUCCUUUCUUGUCGUAUCCUUUUUGGGGCAGUGUUUUGUUUUGUUUUGUUCCUAAAAAUGUUUCAUUGCUCCCCCACUCAGUGAUCAAAAUUGAGCAAUAUUUUUUUACACUUUGUUCGAAUGAAAUAUUUCCAAACAUAUCUGUGUAGAUUGAACAAAUCUCUUAUGCAGUUUUUAGAUUUGUUGUUGAAUUUUCUAGCUGUCCUUUAAGUAAGGUAGUUUUUCCAGGGAAAGUUAGUGAAUCAGGUCAACUUAGUUACUUUAUUUAUAUACAUUUGCUUUAACACUGAAUGUAGUCUUGCUUCCUCUACUUGUGUAUUUCUUACACCUAAUUCAGUAACAUGCUUUCUGUUUUAUGACAUAUCUGUUUAGGUAUUCUAUGUAACAUGUUGUAAAAUUUGAUUGGAGAAAGAAUUAUUUUUCUUUUAAAAAGUACAGAUUUUGAAAUUAAAUGGGUUUCUAUGUAAAUUCCAAGUAAGAGUAGCAGACCUCACAUCUGAGGUCUUACUAUUGAAAUCUCCUUUGAGAUAUAGCUAGCAAGUGGAAGUAACUUUUCUCUUUUCUUUUUUCUCUAAACAAAACAAAGCAAAAAAAUGUAAUUAAAACCACAAAAGGGAGAAGACAUUGUUGACUCAGGCUAGCACAUUAAGUGAAAAGAAACUAUCCUGGUACAUAUGUAAGAACAAUGGUUUCCAAACUGGUUGAUGACCAGACUAAGCUAGACCAGUGGUUCUCAAUCUUGGCUGCACAUUGGAAUGAUCUGGGGAACUUAAAAAAAAAAAAAAAAAAAAAAAAAAAAAAUCUGAUUUUAAGAAAACAAAAAACCUUUUAAAAUAUACUGAUACCUGGGUCCCUCCCCCAGAGUAUUUGAUUUAAUUGGUCUGGAGUGUAGCCUGAGCAUCAGAAUUUUUAAAACCCCUCAAAGUGAUUCUAAUGUGCAACCAAGGUUUGAGAACUACCAAGAAGGAAUUUUUAUACAUAAAGAUUCCUGGGCUCCAGCUUAGAACUUUGAAUCAGAAUCUGGAAAUGGAGCCCAAGAAUUUAAUUUAAAAAGAUUCCUCUAGUAAUUCUGACAACAGACCAAUUUGCAUACUACUUUGAGUAAAAUGGUCAGGCGCCUAAUACCAGCCUAGCCAUCCAGCCUUUUCUAAGUAGGAAAAUAGAGGACUAGAGCGUCUACAUUUCUUUCUUGCAAAUUUUGCUCUUGUUAGUACUGUAAAAAUAAUUCAAAAUUCUGUUAAUGAUCGUUGUCACCCCAAGAGGUCAUAAACAAUUACUGAAAUUACAAUUGUUUCUUUAUAGGGAGAGUUAAAUGUUUUAUUUUUUAAUGUUAUAAAUUACAGUUUCUGUAUAUGCUGUUUAGUUAGAUAUUUAAAAAUUUUGUUGUCUUGACAUGAUUCACUAAUUUUCUAAGUAUAAAUUCUAGCUUUUAGUUAUUUUUAAAACAUGAACUGUUUUAUAAUCUUGAUUAUUAAUGGCCUUUUAUCAUGUUUUAGGUUCUUUUUGAAUUCCAUAUCUUUCAAGUAUUUUCCAAUUUUGAGGAGAAGAAAUUGGCCACCUGGACUAUGGAACAAUACUGCCAUUUUUCAUUCUUGGACAUCAUGCAGCCUUUUUUUUUUUAACGGUACUCUUAAUUCUAAGUUAUAAUUAUUUUAGGAGUGAUUUUGUUUGCAUUUGUGUUUCUUUUUCCUUAUGUAUUUUUUAUUGUUGUUAAGGGGUUUCUCAAAGUUUAGGGAAUUUGUAUCUUUGCCCUAAUUUAAUUUUCCAUUUUUGCGUCCCUAAAUACAAUCAGAUUACCACUCAGAGGUGAAAAUAUUUCCCAUAUAAAAUCACUCUGUUCUCUUAGUAAAAUGAGUUUCAGCCAUAUGUAAGUAGAAAUCUUUGAUAUUUUUUAUUUUGCUUGUUCUUAUUGAUAUUGUCCUGUGAAUAUGUGACAACAACUUCAUCCUAGAGUUACUGCUCAAGGACUCAGGUCUCCUGGUGGAAUGCUGUUCUGAAUCACAACUUCUCUUUUAAUCAUAGCUUUGCAAAGUGAAGAGAGUGAGAAUAUUAAAGAUAGAAAUUAGAAAUAUGGGGAAGUGGACCCUUGAACAUGCUAAUGUUUAGAUGUGAAGUCAGUAAGGAACCAUUAAAGAAGACUGAGGAGGAACAGCUGGAAGCCAAGUGAAAAAAGUAUAUCAGGCAGGAGGGGUGAGCAAAUGUUGUGUCAAAUCUGGAUGAUUCAUGUAAGAUGAGUUCCGAGUAUUGAACACUGGGUUUCGCAACAUUCGUGACUUAAACCUCGACAGCCUGAUUUGAUUGAUGGAAGGAGUGAAGGGAAAUAUUCAAGGGAAUGGUAGAGAGGAAAUGAGUAAAGUAAGAAUUGAAGACAGUUCUUUUAAGGAGUCUAGCUCUAAAGGGGGAAUGGAGAUAUGGGUUGUAAGUGGAGGGGGUUAUGGUAUCAAGAGGGUUUUUGAAAAAUUUUUUUAAGGAUCAAGAUAUAGCAGAUUUGUAUGCUAAAGGGACUGAUCCAAUAGGAGAGGGAAAAUUGCUGAAGCCAUAAAACUGGUGUACAAAUAAAAGGGUUAGCUGUGAAGAUAGGCAUGCAGAUAGCUCCUUAACAGAAAGAGGAGGAAGGGCCGUUACAUAAGUCUAGAUGUUUUUAGUUUGGUAGAUAGAAUAGGAGCAUGUGGAAGUUCUCUUAUGGUUUUUUGUUUUGCUUUUUCAGUGAAAUAGGGAGCAAAGUCAUGAAGACGGAGGAAGUGUUAGAGGGUUGUGGCAAGAAAAAAGUUGUAAAAUAGACAUCUAGAAAAGUGAGGGAGUGAACAGACUUUUAGAAGGAUUGCCAGGCCGUCCCUAAGUUCCCACCUGAAGUUUGUGGUUGUCAGCUUAAAAUGAGUCCAGUCAACAUAGUUUUGUUUUCCCUUCCAGUUAUAAACUCAGAUGGGUGCUGUCACUGAGUAAUGGAAUUAGAUUUAACCAACAUUAGAAUUUUCCCAAGUGAAUAUAACAAAGGGGGAGAAUGGAAAAGGUGUUGGUGAUGUGUACAAGGGAAUGGAUGAUUAUAAAGAAGGGACAUGGAAAGUAAUCUGGGUAAGGAGCAAAAUGAAAAGAUAAAGGAUGGAAAGUACAGUGGAAAAACAGUAUAAUCAAUUGUAAAUUGCAGUGGGGUUUAAGAUAUUUUGGGGUUGUUUACUAGAGGUAGGAACUAGAAAUUUGAGAGGUUGAAAAAGCAAGAUGGGGUGCAUAAAAUUGAGAAUAUUGGAGGGAGUAUAUUACUAGGAUAUGAAUACAGGAGUAGGUUAGAGGCAAGUUCAUGGAAAGAGAUGAAAUCACAAAACUGAGAAGCAGAGGUAUCACAAAAGGAUCAUCUAAGUGGGUUUUGAAAUUAUCUACAAUUAUGACAGGAGUAGUGAGUCAAGAUCUGUGGGCAUAAUAAUAGUAUCUACCUUUGGGUUGUUGUCAAGAUGAUUUGAUGAAUAUAAAAUACUGAAAAUGUGUCUGGUGUAUAAAUUCUCAAUAAAAAUAAACUUUUUUUGUA